UCAAUGUUGCGAGCGCAGGAAACGCUCAAAGUGUCAGAGAGAGCGAGAGACGAGCCGGCGCAACUUUUCCCCCCUGCCCGUGUGUGUGUGUGUGUGUGUGUGUGAGAGAGAGUGUGAAGCGCCCUGCAGCAGCUCUGCCCGGGUUUAUUACGUGCUAACGGACUUGCUGUGACCGGGGACGCCGGGGUGACGUCAGCGGAGAGCGGUCAAAGAGCUAGAAGAGUCGGGUGUCCAUGAAGUUGUCCCUGAGGAAGUCUGUGUGUGAGAUGAACCAUUCAGCAGAGAUGAUGAAGUAAUGAUGCUGCAGCGGGACACGGCAUCAGAACGUCAGCGGAAAACACGCACGGAUCCGAGACUGACGGAAGUGAGUGAGGCAUAAUUUUGUCUGCCUCGAAUCCUGUUUUGAGGAUCAGAUCUGGCGGAGCUGAGACAAUCACAGUUCACAUUGUCACUUGGAUUAAGGCCAGGUCCUGCAGCGCUCCAAGACUGAGAUGCAGUUACUCGGUUGUCACUGCGUGUGUGUCUGUGUGUCUGUGUAAAGUUUAAUGUGACCUGACACGGUGAGACUGUGCAUUUAACUAGGAGACGGGCUGCCCUUUUUUAUUUUUUUAUCAUACAAAAGCUUUCUUUUUAUGCCUUAAGAACAAAACAUGUUUAGUUUCUAAAAUAAAAUUAUUAAAAAUAAAUAAAGACUAUAUAAUUAGGCCGAGUUGAUCGUGCUACGUCCUUCCAAGGCAAGUGUUUUAUUUGUAUAGCACAUUUCAUACACGAUGGUAAUUCAGAGUGCUUUACGUAAAAAAGAAGAAAAUAAUCAUAAAAAGAAAUAGAAAAUAAUAGCAAUAAAACUGUUUGAAUUAUUUAAAAUUUGAUUUAGAAUCAAAAUAAAACAGUUAAAAAUAUAAGAAACGUAAAAUACAGUUCCAGCGAAAACACAGAUGAUGAGACGCCGUCAUCUCGGGCAUGUCCUUGAAGUUGAAGGUCGUAUCGCUCCUUGUUUGCCUCGGUGAACAUUCAACGCUGUCGGUGAGUUUGGGCUAAACUGACAAAACCAUCGACCGUUGACUGUACCCCAUGGCCAAGCUCUGACGACGAUGACGACGAUG